UAGGUAAAUGCAAAGGACCCAGAAUAACCAAAAGAAUCUUGAAAGAGAAGUAAACAGUUGGAGGAAGCCACAUUUCAUGAUUUUGGAACUCACCACAAAGCUACCACAAUCAAGACACCGUGGUAUAAGAAUGUGCAAAUAGCUCCAGGCUCCAUGAGCAGAAGAGCAGAGGAACAGAAGAGCUGCAGAGUAGCAGAGCAGUGAGGCAGAGAAGAAGGGAAGAGAAGGAGCGUCUGAAUGUCGAGAGGAGUUUGGCUGGGGACAGUCAGGGAGGAAAUCAGCCGCGGGAUGGCCAAACUCCAGGGGAAGAUUAUCUUGCCACUCCAUCCUCUUUCUAGCUCCCCAUCCAUCCUGCUGAGAGCCACUUCCAUCUGGCAAUAAAAUGCCCGGC
rnacentral:lncRNA from 1 species